CCGCAUGCAAGAUGAACCCAAACGAUUAUGCAUAGUUCACGCUGAAUAUCGCAUGUUGACACCCAAUCAUCACGUCUUUCGCUCCUAUCUGAUCUCGUUC
rfam:Pisolithus tinctorius Marx 270 unplaced genomic scaffold scaffold_8, whole genome shotgun sequence.